rnacentral:ncRNA from 1 species
CUAUACGCAUCGACGGAGACAGGUCUUUUAAUUUUUGCUCAUAGAGAGCCAGUGGGUGGUGGAAACUGGCAGCAGUAUUAUUUGACAAAUCACUCCGGAGCAGCAUUUCUGAAAUAGAGUAAGAAAUGCCGGGAAGUCCCGAUACAGACUUGAGGUUUAAUUGAACCAAAAUGAGAUACCCCAUGUUUAUGGGGUAAUUAAGGUGGUACCGCGGGAAUUACAGCCUGCCCUUGAC